ACUCUGUUGUUGGAGAAGAAAGUGCGUGAGAGUAACUGUUCACGUUUCGACGGUAUCUAACCAGAAAGCCACGGCUAACUACGUGCCAGCAGCCGCGGUAAUACGUAGGUGGCAAGCGUUAUCCGGAUUUAUUGGGCGUAAAGGGAACGCAGGCGGUCUUUUAAGUCUGAUGUGAAAGCCUUCGGCUUAACCGGAGUAGUGCAUUGGAAACUGGGAGACUUGAGUGCAGAAGAGGAGAGUGGAACUCCAUGUGUAGCGGUG
rnacentral:rRNA from 1 species